GGUCGGGUAGCUCAGCUGGUAGAGCAACGGACUGAAAAUCCGUGUGUCGGCGGUUCAAUCCCGCCCCCGACCA
rnacentral:tRNA from 1 species